rnacentral:rRNA from 1 species
AGAGUUUGAUCCUGGCUCAGGAUGAACGCUGACAGAAUGCUUAACACAUGCAAGUCGAUGGGGAAGCGGCGCUUGCGCCGUGGCAACCAUGGCGGACGGGUGAGUAACGCGUAAAGAACUUGCCGGAUGGACCGGGAUAACAGCUGGAAACGGCUGGCAAGACCGGAUACUAUGGGCUGGCCGCAUGGCUGGCCCAUGAAAAGGGAUGCCGUCCGAGAGCUUUGCGUCCUAUUAGCUGGUUGGUAAGGUGACGGCUUACCAAGGCGAUGAUAGGUAGCCGGCCUGAGAGGGUGGACGGCCACAAGGGGACUGAGAUACGGCCCUUACUCCUACGGGAGGCAGCAGUGGGGAAUAUUGGACAAUGGGGGCAACCCUGAUCCAGCAAUUCUGUGUGCACGAAGAAGGUUUUCGGAUUGUAAAGUGCUUUCAGCAGGGAAGAAGAAAGUGACGGUACCUGCAGAAGAAGCGACGGCUAAAUACGUGCCAGCAGCCGCGGUAAUACGUAUGUCGCGAGCGUUAUCCGGAAUUAUUGGGCAUAAAGGGCAUCUAGGCGGCCGGAUAAGUCUGGGGUGAAAACUUGCGGCUCAACCGCAAGCCUGCCCUGGAAACUAUGCGGCUAGAGUACUGGAGAGGUGGACGGAACUGCACGAGUAGAGGUGAAAUUCGUAGAUAUGUGCAGGAAUGCCGAUGAUGAAGAUAGUUCACUGGACGGUAACUGACGCUGAAGUGCGAAAGCUGGGGGAGCGAACAGGAUUAGAUACCCUGGUAGUCCCAGCCGUAAACGAUGAUUACUGGGUGUGGGCAUGAAGAGUGUCCGUGCCGAAGCAAAUGCGAUAAGUAAUCCGCCUGGGGAGUACGGCCGCAAGGCUGAAACUCAAAGGAAUUGACGGGGACCCGCACAAGCGGUGGAGCAUGU